rnacentral:rRNA from 1 species
AGUGAACGCUGGCGGUAGGCCUAACACAUGCAAGUCGAACGGCAGCACAGUAAGAGCUUGCUCUUACGGGUGGCGAGUGGCGGACGGGUGAGGAAUACAUCGGAAUCUACUUUUUCGUGGGGGAUAACGUAGGGAAACUUACGCUAAUACCGCAUACGACCUACGGGUGAAAGCAGGGGAUCUUCGGACCUUGCGCGAUUGAAUGAGCCGAUGUCGGAUUAGCUAGUUGGCGGGGUAAAGGCCCACCAAGGCGACGAUCCGUAGCCGGUCUGAGAGGAUGAUCAGCCACACUGGAACUGAGACACGGUCCAGACUCCUACGGGAGGCAGCAGUGGGGAAUAUUGGACAAUGGGCGCAAGCCUGAUCCAGCCAUACUGCGUGGGUGAAGAAGGCCUUCGGGUUGUAAAGCCCUUUUGUUGGGAAAGAAAAGCGGCAGGUUAAUACCCCGCUGUUCUGACGGUACCCAAAGAAUAAGCACCGGCUAACUUCGUG